rnacentral:rRNA from 1 species
CCAGACUCCUACGGGAGGCAGCAGUGAGGAAUAUUGGUCAAUGGCCGCAGGGCUGAACCAGCCAAGUCGCGUGAGGGAUGACGGUCCUAUGGAUUGUAAACCUCUUUUGUCAGGGAGCAAAGGGCGCAACGUGUGGCGUUUUGCGAGUACCUGAAGAAAAAGCAUCGGCUAACUCCGUGCCAGCAGCCGCGGUAAUACGGAGGAUGAGAGCGUUAUCCGGAUUUAUUGGGUUUAAAGGGUGCGUAGGCGGAAUAUCAAGUCAGCGGUAAAAAUUCGGGGCUCAACCCCGUCGUGCCGUUGAAACUGAUGUUCUUGAGUGGGCGAGAAGUAUGCGGAAUGCGUGGUGUAGCGGUGAAAUGCAUAGAUAUCACGCAGAACUCCGAUUGCGAAGGCAGCAUACCGGCGCCCAACUGACGCUGAAGCACGAAAGCGUGGGUAUCGAACAGGAUUAGAUACCCGCGUAC